CACGUAGGCGGAUAUUUAAGUCAGGGGUGAAAUCCCGGGGCUCAACCCCGGAGCUGCCUUUGAUACUGGGUAUCUUGAGUCCGAGAGAGGUGAGUGGAAUUCCGAGUGUAGAGGUGAAAUUCGUAGAUAUUCGGAGGAACACCAGUGGCGAAGGCGGCUCACUGGCUCGGUACUGACGCUGAGGUGCGAAAGCGUGGGGAGCAAACA
rnacentral:rRNA from 1 species